GACGGUGGCGACUCUUGCUUCCGCGACAUUUCGCGUACCAGCGUUAAACAGUCAGUUCCAGAUCCACCGAUCACAGCAUCACUCCCACGUUGGGCUUUUUUUUCUUCUUUUUUUUACAAAGUUAUUGGGUUCGUAAGUGGGGGUUGGAUGUCCUUGUUAGGUACACCCAGUCAAGGUCUGUUUCAUGUGUAUACUUUUAAUUUGAAAAUUUUUAAAGACAAGUCUAUGAAGGUGAGUGAGAGUGAUAAUUGUCUCAAAGUUUUGUAUAAGGAGGACGAGUCAUAUCGUUGGUUCAGAGGUGUCUGA